AGUGAACGCUGGCGGUAGGCCUAACACAUGCAAGUCGAACGGCAGCACAGUAAGAGCUUGCUCUUACGGGUGGCGAGUAGCGGACGGGUGAGGAAUACAUCGGAAUCUACUUUUUCGUGGGGGAUAACGUAGGGAAACUUACGCUAAUACCGCAUACGACCUACGGGUGAAAGCAGGGGAUCUUCGGACCUUGCGCGAUUGAAUGAGCCGAUGUCGGAUUAGCUAGUUGGCGGGGUAAAGGCCCACCAAGGCGACGAUCCGUAGCUGGUCUGAGAGGAUGAUCAGCCACACUGGAACUGAGACACGGUCCAGACUCCUACGGGAGGCAGCAGUGGGGAAUAUUGGACAAAGGGCGCAAGCCUGAUCCAGCCAUACCGCGUGGGUGAAGAAGGCCUUCGGGUUGUAAAGCCCUUUUGUUGGGAAAGAAAAGCAGCAGGUUAAUACCCCGCUGUUCUGACGGUACCCAAAGAAUAAGCACCGGCUAACUUCGUG
rnacentral:rRNA from 1 species